rnacentral:rRNA from 1 species
AGAGUUUGAUCCUGGCUCAGGAUGAACGCUGGCGGCGUGCUUAACACAUGCAAGUCGAACGAUUAACCCACCUUCGGGUGGUUAUAAAGUGGCGAACGGGUGAGUAACACGUGACCAACCUACCCCUUACAUUGGGAUAACUCAGAGAAAUCUGUGCUAAUACCAAAUACUCCGGAUAAAUCGCAUGGUUUUUCCGGGAAAGCUUUUGCGGUAAGGGAUGGGGUCGCGGCCUAUUAGGUAGUUGGUGGGGUAACGGCCUACCAAGCCUGCGAUAGGUAGCCGGGUUGAGAGACUGAUCGGCCACAUUGGGACUGAGAUACGGCCCAGACUCCUACGGGAGGCAGCAGUGGGGAAUUUUGCGCAAUGGGGGAAACCCUGACGCAGCAACGCCGCGUGCGGGAUGACGGCCUUCGGGUUGUAAACCGCUUUCAGUGGGAAAGAUUAUGACGGUACCCACAGAAGAAGCUCCGGCUAACUACGUGCCAGCAGCCGCGGUAAUACGUAGGGAGCAAGCGUUAUCCGGAUUUAUUGGGCGUAAAGCGCGCGUAGGCGGCUUGUUAAGCAAGAUCUCAAAUCUGGGGGCUCAACCUCCAGCCGGAUUUUGAACUGGCAGGCUCGAGUUUGGUAGAGGAAAGUGGAAUUCCCAGUGUAGCGGUGAAAUGCGCAGAUAUUGGGAAGAACACCGAUGGCGAAGGCAGCUUUCUGGGCCAUAACUGACGCUGAGGUGCGAAAGCUAGGGGAGCAAACAGGAUUAGAUACCCUGGUAGUCCUAGCCGUAAACGAUGGGCACUAGGUGUGGGGAGACAUUCUUUCCGUGCCGCAGCUAACGCAUUAAGUGCCCCGCCUGGGGAGUACGGCCGCAAGGCUAAAACUCAAAGGAAUUGACGGGGGCCCGCACAAGCAGCGGAGCAUGUGGCUUAAUUCGAAGCAACGCGAAGAACCUUACCAGGGCUUGACAUGAUUGUGAAGCAGUGGAAACACUGUGGCCGAAAGGAGCAAUCACAGGUGGUGCAUGGCUGUCGUCAGCUCGUGUCGUGAGAUGUUGGGUUAAGUCCCGCAACGA